rnacentral:rRNA from 1 species
GACGAACGCUGGCGGCGUGCCUAAUACAUGCAAGUUGAGCGCUGACGGUUGGUACUUGUACCAACUGGGUGAGCGGCGAACGGGUGAGUAACGCGUGGGGCGUCUGCCUUUUAGCGGGGGACAACAUUUGGAAACGAAUGCUAAUACCGCCUAAAACCUUUAAACACAAGUUUUAAGUUUGAAAGAUGCCAUUGCCUCACUCAAAGAUGAUCCCGCGUUGUAUUAGCUAGUUGGUGAGGUAAACGCUCACCAAGGCGAUGGUACCUAGCCGACCUGAGAGGGUGAUCGGCCACAAUGGGACUGAGACACGGCCCAAACUCCUACGGGAGGCAGCAGUAGGGAAUCUUCGGCAAUGGACGAAAGUCUGACCGAACAACGCCGCGUGAGUGAAGGAGGUUUUCGGAUCGUAAAACUCUGUUGGUAGAGAAGAAAGUUGGUGAGAGUGGAAAGCUCAUCAAGUGACGGUAACUACCCAGAAAGGGACGGCUAACUACGUG